rnacentral:rRNA from 1 species
AAAAGUGUCGAGGGAAAGUUUAAUUCAUAAUAUUAAUUAUUAUAUAUAUGCACUUUUUUAUUAAAUUUUUUGAGGAUAAGCUCAGAAAAAAAUUAAGAUAUUUUUAGCUAAAAUUACUGUGUGGGCUUAAAAUUGGCCGCCAUAAAAGUUUGUUAUAAAAUAGUAAUCUUAACUUAUAAAAUAGGUAUAUUUUGAUCUAAAAUCAUUAUGGGGACAAGAACUUUAAUUAAAAAUAAGUUUUAUGCCUAUGCUAGAAUAAGUAUUAAAGCCUGGCUAUAAAAGAAAUAUUAAUUUAUUUUUUUCUUCAAAGAAAUUUUUUUAAAAAAAUUAAUUAAUUAGAAGGAAUUCGGCAAGUUUAGUUGCUCCGCCUGUUUAUCAAAAACAUGGCUCUUUGCUAACAUAAAUAUAAAGAGUCGAGCCUGCCCAGUGAAUUUUUAACGGCCGCGGUACUCUGACCGUGCAAAGGUAGCGUAAUCAUUUGCCUUAUAAUUGAAGGCUAGUAUGAAUGGUUUGACGAGAGCAAUACUGUCUCCUUAUUAUUUUCAAAAACUUAACUUUUAGGUGAAGAGGCCUAAAUUCCAUUGAAGGACAAGAAGACCCUGUCGAGCUUAAAAGACACCAUAGAAGUCCAAUAUAUUUUUAGAUAAAUUUCUAUUAAGCUUUUUAGUUGGGGCGACUGAGGAACAAAAAAAGCUUCUUUCUAAUAAUAAACAAUCAUGUUUAGAUCCGAUAAUAGCGAUUAAAGAAAUUAGUUACCGCAGGGAUAACAGCAUAAUCUCUCUUAAGAGGCCUAAUCGAAAGAGGGGAUUGUGACCUCGAUGUUGGACUAGAAUAUCCUAAAGAUGUAGAAGUCUUUGAGG